rnacentral:rRNA from 1 species
ACGGAGGAUGCAAGCGUUAAUCGGAAUUACUGGGCUUAAAGCGCGCGCAGGCUGUUUUUUAAGUCAGAGGUGAAAGCCCCGGGCUCAACGUUGGAACUGCAUCUGAUACUGGCAAGCUUGAGUCUCGUAGAGGGGGGUAGAAUUCCAGGUGUAGCGGUGAAAUGCGUAGAGAUCUGGAGGAAUACCGGUGGCGAAGGCGGCCCCCUGGACGAAGACUGACGCUCAGGUGCGAAAGCGUGGGGAGCAAACAG